rnacentral:rRNA from 1 species
UACGGGGGGGGCGAGCGUUGUUCGGAAUUACUGGGCGUAAAGGGUGUGUAGGUGGCGCGCUAAGUCGGGUGUGAAAUUUCGGAGCUUAACUCCGAAACUGCAUUCGAUACUGGCGUGCUUGAGGACUGGAGAGGAGACUGGAAUUCAUGGUGUAGCAGUGAAAUGCGUAGAGAUCAUGAGGAAGACCAGUGGCGAAGGCGGGUCUCUGGACAGUUCCUGACACUGAGACACGAAGGCCAGGGGAGCAAACGGG